GACGAACGCUGGCGGCGUGCCUAAUACAUGCAAGUUGAGCGAUGAAGAUUGGUGCUUGCACCAAUUUGAAGAGCAGCGAACGGGUGAGUAACGCGUGGGGAAUCUGCCUUUGAGCGGGGGACAACAUUUGGAAACGAGUGCUAAUACCGCAUAACAACUUUAAACAUAAGUUUUAAGUUUGAAAGAUGCAAUUGCAUCACUCAAAGAUGAUCCCGCGUUGUAUUAGCUAGUUGGUGAGGUAAAGGCUCACCAAGGCGAUGGUACAUAGCCGACCUGAGAGGGUGAUCGGCCACAUUGGGACUGAGACACGGCCCAAACUCCUACGGGAGGCAGCAGUAGGGAAUCUUCGGCAAUGGACGAAAGUCUGACCGAGCAACGCCGCGUGAGUGAAGAAGGUUUUCGGAUCGUAAAACUCUGUUGGUAGAGAAGAACGUUGGUGAGAGUGGAAAGCUCAUCAAGUGACGGUAACUACCCAGAAAGGGACGGCUAACUACGUG
rnacentral:rRNA from 1 species